rfam:Echinostoma caproni strain Egypt genome assembly, scaffold: ECPE_scaffold0017773
GGCCCAGUGGUGUAGUGGUUAUCACGUCUGCUUUACACGCAGAAGGUCCCCGGUUCGAACCCGGGCUGGACCA